AGGAGAGUUUGAUCCUGGCUCAGGAUGAACGCUAGCGGCAGGCUUAACACAUGCAAGUCGAGGGGCAGCGCGGAGUGGCAACACUUUGGCGGCGACCGGCGCACGGGUGCGUAACGCGUAUGCAACCUGCCCCGUACAGGGGUAUAACGGAGGGAAACUUCCACUAAUCCCCCAUAAUGACAUGCUUCCGCAUGGGGGUGUGUUUAAAGGUAUUUCUGGUACGGGAUGGGCAUGCGUGACAUUAGGUAGUUGGCGGGGCAACGGCCCACCAAGCCGACGAUGUCUAGGGGAGCUGAGAGGCUUAUCCCCCACACUGGUACUGAGACACGGACCAGACUCCUACGGGAGGCAGCAGUGAGGAAUAUUGGUCAAUGGGAGGAAUCCUGAACCAGCCAUGCCGCGUGGGGGAAGAAGGUCCUAUGGGUUGUAAACCCCUUUUGCUCGGGAGUAAUAAGAGUCUUGCGAGGCUUGAUGAGAGUACCGGGCGAAUAAGCAUCGGCUAACUCCGUGCCAGCAGCCGCGGUAAUACGGAGGAUGCGAGCGUUAUCCGGAUUUAUUGGGUUUAAAGGGUGCGCAGGCGGACUGCUAAGUCAGCGGUGAAAGGUCCCGGCUCAACCGGGGAGCUGCCGUUGAUACUGGCGGACUGGAGUCCAAACGGCGCCGGCGGAAUGUGUGGUGUAGCGGUGAAAUGCAUAGAUACCACACAGAACACCGAUCGCGAAGGCAGCUGGCGAGGAUGGUACUGACGCUGAGGCACGAAGGCGUGGGGAUCGAACAGGAUUAGAUACCCUGGUAGUCCCCU
rnacentral:rRNA from 1 species